rnacentral:tRNA from 1 species
GCGAGAAUAGCCAAGUGGUAAGGCAAGGGUCUGCAAAACCUUGAACGCGGGUUCAAUUCCCGCUUCUUGCU